rnacentral:rRNA from 1 species
CCUACGGGUGGCAGCAGUGAGGAAUAUUGGUCAAUGGGCGCGAGCCUGAACCAGCCAAGUCGCGUGAGGGAAGACGGCCCUACGGGUUGUAAACCUCUUUUGCCGGGGAGCAACGGGCGCCACGUGUGGCGCCACUGAGAGUACCCGGAGAAAAAGCAUCGGCUAACUCCGUGCCAGCAGCCGCGGUAAUACGGAGGAUGCGAGCGUUAUCCGGAUUUAUUGGGUUUAAGGGGUGCGUAGGCGGAGCGUUAAGUCAGUGGUCAAAUUGAGGGGCUCAACCCCUUCCCGCCAUUGAAACUGGCGCUCUUGAGUGGAAGAGAAGUAUGCGGAAUGCGUGGUGUAGCGGUGAAAUGCAUAGAUAUCACGCAGAACCCCGAUUGCGAAGGCGGCCGCCUGGCCUGUUACUGACGCUGAGGCACGAAAGCGUGGGGAGCAAAUAGGAUUAGAUACCCGGGUAGUC